rnacentral:rRNA from 1 species
UACGAAGGGGGCUAGCGUUGUUCGGAUUUACUGGGCGUAAAAGCGCACGUAGGUGGUUUUCUAAGUCAGCUGUGAAAUCCCCCGGGCUCAACCUGGGACUUUGCAGUUGAAACUGGGAAGCUAGAGUAGGGUAGAGGGGUGUGGAAUUCCAGGUGUAGCGGUGAAAUGCGUAGAUAUCGAGAGGAACACCAGUGGCGAAGGCGAGUCCCUGGACAACUCCUGACACUGAGGCACGAAAGCUAGGGGAGCAAACAGG